CUAUAACGGUCCUAAGGUAGCGAAAUUCCUUGUCGGGUAAGUUCCGACCUGCACGAAUGGCGUAAUGAUGGCCAGGCUGUCUCCACCCGAGACUCAGUGAAAUUGAACUCGCUGUGAAGAUGCAGUGUACCCGCGGCAAGACGGAAAGACCCCGUGAACCUUUACUAUAGCUUGACACUGAACAUUGAGCCUUGAUGUGUAGGAUAGGUGGGAGGCUUUGAAGUGUGGACGCCAGUCUGCAUGGAGCCGACCUUGAAAUACCACCCUUUAAUGUUUGAUGUUCUAACGUGGACCCGUAAUCCGGGUUGCGGACAGUGUCUGGUGGGUAGUUUGACUGGGGCGGUCUCCUCCUAAAGAGUAACGGAGGAGCACGAAGGUUGGCUAAUCCUGGUCGGACAUCAGGAGGUUAGUGCAAUGGCAUAAGCCAGCUUGACUGCGAGCGUGACGGCGCGAGCAGGUGCGAAAGCAGGUCAUAGUGAUCCGGUGGUUCUGAAUGGAAGGGCCAUCGCUCAACGGAUAAAAGGUACUCCGGGGAUAACAGGCUGAUACCGCCCAAGAGUUCAUAUCGACGGCGGUGUUUGGCACCUCGAUGUCGGCUCAUCACAUCCUGGGGCUGAAGUAGGUCCCAAGGGUAUGGCUGUUCGCCAUUUAAAGUGGUACGCGAGCUGGGUUUAGAACGUCGUGAGACAGUUCGGUCCCUAUCUGCCGUGGGCGCUGGAGAAUUGAGGGGGGCUGCUCCUAGUACGAGAGGACCGGAGUGGACGCAUCACUGGUGUUCGGGUUGUCAUGCCAAUGGCACUGCCCGGUAGCUAAAUGCGGAAGAGAUAAGUGCUGAAAGCAUCUAAGCACGAAACUUGCCCCGAGAUGAGUUCUCCCUGACUCCUUGAGAGUCCUGAAGGAACGUUGAAGACGACGACGUUGAUAGGCCGGGUGUGUAAGCGCAGCGAUGCGUUGAGCUAACCGGUACUAAUGAACCGUGAGGCUUAACCUU
rnacentral:rRNA from 1 species